rnacentral:rRNA from 1 species
AAUAGUCAAAGGAUAAUAACGCAUAAAAAGAAUAAAAAAAAAAUCCAUUAUAUAUAUAAUACCUACCUGCAACACUCAUGCUAUUUAUAUCUGUAAAACUUAGCUUUUUCUCAUCGUUUAUACCAUUAGGUGUUUACUAUUUUGCACUUGUAUCGUCUGUUAGAGUUAGGUAUCAAGUGUUGUUUGUUUAAACUAUAGCAAAUUUAAACUUAGAGGCCGUUACUUUAAGUAAAUUCCAUAAGCUUUAGGCGAGGGUAUAAACCCUUUAUCGUUACUCAUGUCAGCAUUAUCACUUGGGUAAUCUAAUCUUAAGUCUUAAAAAGAAAAAAUCUGAAAUAUGCCCAAUGUUCCGCUACCCCAUAUAUAUUAUAUGUAACUUGUACAUAUAAAUAUUUAUGGACAAGGUCUCGGUAUAUUAUUUAGAUCCGUUAAAUUUUAGGUGCAUCUAACAAUACAAUACAAAAUUGUAUAAAACCAGUGCUCUGUUACGAGGUCUUUAAAAAAUGGCCGCUCCUAAGCCCAUUUCCUGGUUGGCUUAGAUAAACACUACCUUAUUUUCACUUAACAAUAAUUUUGGAACGC